GCAAAAUGCACCUUUUUGUUUACAACUGAAAAAGGGUCCUUGACAAGUGUUUUUUAAUUUUAUUAUUAUUUUAUUUGGUGUUGUAAUUGUUUAGACUGCUGUGUACGGUUUGCUGUUUGUUGAAUCAACAGUGUGAAAAACCUGCCAGCAUGGAUUGAUAUACGCAUGACUUUGUCCCCUCAACUGGGGGCUUUGCAGUUCUAACUUUCUUGAUGUAACCAGUCACCCCAUGUAUAAGUGGAAGCUGCUUGCUAGAAUGGAGAUGAGUCUCAUUUGUUAAUUCACAACAAUUAAGCAUUUGCCUUCUGAUUCUAGUCAGAUCAUGAUUUUUUUCUUAAAAGCAAAACAAAAUACCAAAAUGCCACCAUUCCAAACAAAAAUCAAGAACUGUCUGAGUUAAUUUAUUUAAGAUUGAUAAUUAAAUCUGUUCUGACCUUUUUUAGGUUCUCCUGUCCAUUCCCUCGAAGUACUGAAUUUCCUGUAAAUUCCCUGGCAUGUAUGAGAAAAGUCUUAUGCAUGUGUGUAUGUGUGUAUCUAUACAUAUACAUAUACACAUAUCCAUGUAUACCCACAUAUGUGCAGGGCAGGAUGCUGAACGGGCUACAUUAAAAAAAAAAAAAAAAAAACCUCUUUCUCUCUCUAUUUAUAAAUGAGAACUGUUGGAUGACACCUUUGACAUAUCAGCCAAUAUCAGUCAAGCUGAAGACUCCAGACACUCUGUGUGACUGUAACAUUUCUUCAAGGAAAGUAUAGCGUCUAUGGAGUUCAGAGGGCACGUGUUUGGGGAAAAAAUAUACAUGACAUAAAGAAGACGACGACGAAGAAAAAUGAGAAAACAAAAACACAAAAAAGGCAACUUUAAAACAAAGUAACGUGAGACCAGACGGGGAGGCUGAAGGGCUGGGCACUGGGAGGAGACGCUGCUGCUCACCGAACCCUGGGCUUUUCCAGCCUGUGGGCGCCUGAGGCAGGCGGGGCAAGCGUGCUGUGGGGCCUGGUCCCGGGUGAGGCCAGGAGGCCGCCACUGAGCAUCUCUGUCAUUCCUUUAGCUAUUUAGGGACCAAAGGACCAAACUUUUUAUUGCAGAUGUGUAGCUCUAUGUCAAAUAGAGGGGGAAUGGAGAACCACCUCCUUCCUGCCUCCUGGCUGUUCUUGUAACAGCCUAGAGCGAUUCUAUGAAAAAUGUAAUAAAAAAAAACUUAAAAAAAAACAAAAAAAGAAAAAAAAGAAAAAAAAGAAAAAAUAAUAAUGCUUCAAUGCUUUUGAAACAGCAAGAUACUAGUUCUUUGAUACUUUGAGAGGCGCUUUGAUUACCCUCAUUGAAGUCUAUGACACUUUCCUAUGGUUUUCUGUAUUAUAUGUCUGGAUGGAGCUGUUAAGAUGAACACAUUGCUGGAUGUUUGGGGAAAGCAACAAAAGUAUUAAAACUCAUUAACUGUGAAGUGUGAGAACACGGGAGGGAAACAAACUUCCAAGGCAAGGUAAUUGUGAAAAGUCUGUAAAUGCUUCUCUUCCCCCUCUUAAAAUCAUAAUAGUUGUACAGAAUUUUAAAAAGGAAAAGUUUAAAAUACCUAUAUAAUAGAAGAAAAAUUAGAGGAAAGCAAAAAAUAAAAAAAAAUAAUAAAAAAGGAAAAAAAAACCUAUAGAAGUUAGCGUUACUGCUAAAAUCCCAGAUGUUGUAGGACUGUACUUUUGUAGAGUUUAGACUGAGCAUCAAUCCCUUCUCCCCUCGAGUGCUGUCGGACGCCGUCGUCCCGAGGGCCAGGCCGGCCUCUCCCAGACCUGCAGGCUGCGCGCCACGGGCCAGGAAGGGCCCCUCGCCGGCCGCCGCUGCCGCCCGCGCCUCUCGCUUUGCCCCGGGAGGGGAGCCGGGAGCCGCGCUCGCUCGCUCGCUCGCCCGCCCGCCUGCCUUCCGCAAGCCCUCGACACCUCCCGCUUCACUCGCCGCCUUCCAUGCUUGUUCCAGAGACUUUCCGGGCAAGGGAGAACUGGGAACUUUCAUCUUAAAACAACUAGACAACACACACACACACAAAAACCUUAAAAAAAAGAGAGAGAGAAAAAUAAACAAUCUUUGAAGAAUUUCUGAAACUGUUUACAAGGAAUUUUGAAAAACAGGGAUGUUUAAAUGAUGCCGGCUCUGUUUUUCUGUAAAUAAAUUUGCAUAUUUUGUAGGACUUUUAAUUGUAAUGAUAGAGAAAAAACAAGGAAAACUAUUUAAUGAAAGCACGAUAUUUAUCUUUGGUAAAUGACUUUAGAGCAGUUAAAGACAUUGCUUAAAAACUCAGAAUCAGAAAAAACACUGAAUUAUUUAAGAACACAUAUAUUUUAAAGUAUAUCAUAUUUAUUAUAAUUUAUUUGCACCGUUGGGAAGACUUGUUUUGGCAUUCUGCCUCAAUAACUUCUCAUUGAUGUCCAAUUCAUCUGGAGGCCAGAGGGACUUGCGGACCUAUCAUUUUUUUUCUUUUUUUCUUUUAGAAGAACAAAUUUCUGGUUCCUCUCAGGCCUUCUGUCUUUCCUUUCUGUCAAUUUUGUUAUUGUUGUUGUUGUUGUUUUAAUUUUCUUUUUCUUUUUCUUGACUCCUCCUUUUAGGAUGUCCAAAUGUUGUAAAAACAAAACAAAACAAAACAGCUGCAGUUCAGUACAACUGCUCUUUUCACACUCAACUCCCUAAAACUCCUUGUAACCUUCUGUAACUAUUGGAUGACGCUUUCUCCAGCUUAGCCCUAAAUAAAGCACAGUUUAAAAAAAAAAACAAAAGACUCCUCUUCAUAGUUCUCUGCCUCUCGGAUUCUGAUCAGCGCUGCCUCAUGCCCCAAGUUUCUCCCAUGGGAAGUAGCUGUGGUCUUCUCCCUCCCAGAAUUCCUCAUCUCCUUGGGCCCUUGGUGUGACCCUCAGCCCUGGGGCUCCUUCAGGGUGGUGAUGGGAACAAUAAAAGGAAGUCUUGUUCCAUCCUGUCAAAAGUCUCUCAACUGCCACGUGUCUCUGAAAGUCCCUAUAACAAACCCAUUCUUUUGAGUGUCUGUGUAGAGAUGACCACAGUGCCCAAACAUUACAGGAUUCGCCUUUCUUCUCUGACAGGAGGAAAGCAAGGCCACCUGGACUGAAGGCAGACCAAGAGUUGGGGUGGGGAUGUAGAAGAGGGAAGGGAACAUGAAGGAGAUGAGGGAGCAGUUCCUGAUCUGCCUCCAAGCCUUUUGUCCUUGGUCCUGAAGGUUCCAUUGCUUGGACACUUUGCUUUGGUGGAGAAAACUGAGAAUUCUGGAUGGUGCCCUCUGAGUCAGUGUCCCGGGAGAGGGUUGUGGAAAGAGGCCCUCUAGGCCCUGAUCUAGGGAACUUCCUGGAGUUUGUCCACACACACAUAGACAUGACAGAAAUGUUCAAAGUUGAGAGAAGAGUAUUUCUAGGAAGGAGAAUAUGAGGCAGGACCUAGUGAACAGAAAGGGCUGUCUUCUGAGGUGGGAGGCAGAACAAAUGUGUUCCAUCCACAUACCUUCAUCAGGCCUGUUCCGGCAGAGACCUUCCACCUACCCUUUGCCCCCAGCCUUCAGCCCUGCA
ensembl:lncRNA